rnacentral:sRNA from 1 species
AUCAUAGCAACCAAACAAUGAAUUGAGACCUGGAGGUCUUGGGUUGAAAUUUAAAUUCACAGAAACCAGGCCUUUUGUGCCUAUUGCCUAAUUCAUGGCAUAAUUAUUAUUAGCCGCCUUAGGAUAAAAGGAAUACAGACUUUAUCCCAUACAUGAAUUGUUAGACUUUCACUCAUUUUAAUAGCUAGAGUCUUAUUUUCUUUCCUUAAGAUGUAUAUUUUCUUUUAAUGACCAGGCUCUGUGUGCUGCUGUAGUGAAACCGGAUGUUCUAGAAACAAUGGCUUUGCUGUUCAGUGGAGCAGAUGUCAUGUGUGCCACUGGAGACCCCGUGCAUAGCACCCCCUAUCUGCUAGCCAAGAAGGCUGGGCAAAGUCUGCAAAUGGAAUUUCUCUACCAUAACAAAUUCUCAGAUUUCCCUCAACAUGAUAUUCAUUCCGAGGGUGUAUUAAGUCAAGAGUCUUCCCAGUCCACAUUCCUUUGUGACUUUUUGUAUCAAGCUCCUGCUGCUGCUUCUAAAAUCUCUUCGGAGAAAAAACUGCUUGAAGAGACAAAUAAAAAAUGGUGUGUUUUGGAAGGAGGCUUCUUGAGUUACUAUGAAAAUGAUAAGUCUACCACACCUAAUGGCACCAUUAAUAUCAAUGAAGUUAUCUGCCUGGCUAUACACAAAGAGGACUUCUAUUUAAAUACUGGGCCCAUCUUUAUCUUUGAGAUCUACUUACCCUCAGAACGUGUGUUUUUAUUUGGAGCUGAAACAUCU